rnacentral:rRNA from 1 species
UACGGGGGGGGCAAGCGUUGUUCGGAAUUACUGGGCGUAAAGGGCUCGUAGGCGGCCAACUAAGUCAGACGUGAAAUCCCCAGGCUCAACCUGGGAACUGCGUCUGAUACUGGAUGGCUUGAAUCCGGGAGAGGGAUGCAGAAUUCCAGGUGUAGCGGUGAAAUGCUUAGAUAUGACAUAGAACACCAAUUGCGAAGGCAGCUGGCUACACAUAUAUUGACACUGAUGCACGAGAGCGUGGGGAUCAAACAGG